rnacentral:rRNA from 1 species
AUUUUGGACAAUGGGGGCAACCCUGACGCAGCAACGCCGCGUGAGCGACGAAGGCCUUCGGGUCGNAAAGCCCUGUCUAGCGGGAUNAAUUUUGACAGUACCUCUGGAGGAAGCCCCGGCUAACUACGUGCCAGCAGCCGCGGUAAUACGUAGGGGGCAAGCGUUAAUCGGAAUUACUGGGCGUAAAGCGUGCGCAGGCGGUUCGGCAAGAAGGAUGUGAAAUCCCGGGGCUUAACCUCGGAACUGCAUUCUUAACUGCCGGGCUAGAGUAUGUGAGAGGGGGGUAGAAUUCCGCGUGUAGCAGUGAAAUGCGUAGAGAUGCGGAGGAAUACCGAUGGCGAAGGCAGCCCCCUGGGAUAAUACUGACGCUCAUGCACGAAAGCGUGGGGAGCAAAC